AUCUACAGAGGGGAGCAGUCCCACACAAGAUAAUGACCUGCAGCUGUAUGGGAAAGGGCAGUUGUGAUGAUUAUGAGUAGGCACCCAAGCCUUACAUACAGUGCUCUGACUUUUACCAUGUGUGGGUGGGUCUGCUUGCAAAAGACAUAAAACCCUUUUUACUCAGCCACUUGGCAGCGGUUGUACAGUCUGUGGUCAGGUCCUAUCUCAUCCACAGACAGAGUCCCAUGGCCACUGCUGCUCCCAGCUGUCCAGCUCUCCAAAACACCCAUUACCUCAUUCCCACUCCACCCUCAUGCCUCAUGACGUUGAUACUCUGCUCUCUUUCAGAUAUGCAGAUACAGCUACACCCAUGGACACUACUGCAAGAAAUGCACUUACACUGUGAGUCUGAUCCAGCUAAACCCUCUUUUUCUCCCUUCGGUAAAGGUCAGAAAAGGAAACAAAUAAGGAAUACCCAUCUCAGAGGGCAGAGCUGUCUUGCACUGCAUGCAUGGAUGACACAGGAACUCCAAACUUAAAUAACAAAACUAUGAGCACUGAAAAAUCAGCAUAUUACCCAAAUAGUCCACAUGUUAAUCUCUCAUCACGAAGGCUAAAUGAGAGCACACCGGUUAAUUUAAACUGAAUAACAGCUCUUUUUGAACACAGCAAACAAUGAAGAAAUUUCACCUGAGAGAGAACUGAAGUAGAAAAGCAAAGAAAGUGCCCAUGCUAGAGCCAAGCCCAAGCCCUAAACCUGCUCUGUGGCCAACUCCAACUCAAGCACACUGAAACUCAGCUGACCUCUGAGAAGUCCUGCCCAGGUACUUUUUAAACCCCUGUGCUACAGAAAACAACAAUUUACAAGUCUGGAACUAGAAUGUAGAAGGGCAGCAAUACCUCCAAAGCCAACAGCAAAUUACAACAACACGCCCUCGGCACAAGCUGGAUGGCAGCACUAAGUUUCUUCAAUUCUUCAUGACUUUUUUUUUAAGAUAACUUUUUAUGUAUACAUUUAUUAGUACUGAUAACUUAAAACUCAACAGUGUCUCGCAUGUUACCCCAGACCAAGGCAACUGGAAACAAUAGGCUAACAGCUUCAGCUUAAUAAAGCCAUAAAACCACAAAUAGAUGGCCUUCUC
rnacentral:lncRNA from 1 species